rnacentral:ncRNA from 1 species
AAAAUGGCAAUGAUAAGGACAUGAGACAUUUUAACCGGCCAUACAGAGAGGGAGGGCGCGGCUGAGACCUUCCCGGCACGAAGAAUGGGCUUACCGCCUUUUGAGCUGUAUCGGUGAACGAAAGCAGCCGAUACCGUAUAGCCGCGUUACGGCAAAAAUGAGCCGUCACUUGAAGUGGCGGGAAUUUGGGUGGAACCGCGGGUCUGACACACACUCGUCCCUUGC